CGCUCCUCGCCCGCGGCUUAAAUGGCCGUCUGGCAGCGGGCGGAGGGGCUGCGGCUGGCGCUUCCCCGCCUUCCCCCCUCCCUCUUCCCCUGCCGGCAUCUGAUAUCUCCCCCCGCCAAGCCGGGCCGGGCGAGGAAGUGGCUCCCUCCGAAAGUUUCCCGGUCUCUGUGCGCGCCCGCGGAGGGAGCGGCACCACGGGGCGCGCCCCGUCGCCCGCCCGGCCCUGGCACGGUGCUCGAGGGCGGGCGAUCCGCAGAAGGGUCAGGGGUAAGGCGAGCUUAACUUGGCCCCGGAGACUCCGCUGCCCGGCCCGCCGCCGGCCAGAGACUAUAUCUUUCCAGCCCAGAAAAACUGUUCUGUGGAGCUUUUGACACAAUCCUAGAGAGCUGCAGAAGAAGCCAGACCAGAGAAGAACAUUCUAAUUAUCCACUAGAAUGGAGGCCUUGAGCAACAGAUAUUCAAGAGCAAACCUUCAGUCUGUUCCUGGCUUUCUCUCAGACUCGUUGGAUAAUCAUAGUCAAUUGAUUACAGUGGGGUAUUUCAGACCCAACCAUAAAGACAACCAACAAAUAAUCAGUGGGGCAGUUGGUGCAGAACCAGCAGGUCACCUGGGGAAUUACCUCUCCACAAAAAUAGGUUUGUGUUCCUAUGCUUCACAAAGGGCAGAAGCAGCCAACACAUAGAGUAAAACUGGAAUGAGCUCUUUGACAGAGUAUUCUGGGUCAUGACAAGAGUAUGCCAUUAAUUGUUUAGUCAGGGGAAAGAGGUAUGUGAUUGUAGGUAACAUAGCUAAGUCAUCAGUCUUGGUAAUUAUAGGUAAGAAACCAGUAUACUCAGCCAAGCAGUGGAGACAGAUGGAUUAAAAUAAUAUGAUGUCAAUGAGAAAAAGAAGUGACAAAUUCUUCUGUUUUCAAGCUAAAGAAUGCUUGCAAUUUAUUUUGCUUUGAAGAUCUUUGUAUUUUAUACAAAUGGACCGUUUUGAAAAAUUCUAAUUGGCUCACUUCAUACAAAUGCCUGUCCAAGUCUCUUCAAAUCCUUUGAGAAAGGCAGAGGAGACUAGCAAGAUGAAAAAAACAAUGGAAACAGUUAAUGAAUGACCUUGUCUUAUAGUCCUGUUCAAACAUACACUUUCCUUAACAAGUGCAGUAAACUGCAACUUUGAAUUGGAUACGGAAAGAAAUAUCCCCCCUGAAAAGUAAGAUUUAGCUUGGCCAUGAAAGCUGUUCUCUUUAAUGUGGCAACAACAGGAAUACAAGAGCUUCACAUUCCCCUUUUAUAUGUUUAACCUUUGACAAAAAGGUUAAACACUUUCCUCACAACUGACUCACAUCAGGAAACACAAGAACUCCACUCUCCAGAUGAAGCCUGGCUAGCUGAAAAUGCAAUGUCAGCAUCCAAGUGCAUUAAGACAAGGAUUCCUUGUGCAGCUCCUAGUACUGCUACAGGGGCAGGAAGUGGGUCUUUUACAGACAGGAGGGAGAUGAAAUGGUGCCGGGAACAAUAAGGAAGUUCAGGGUGGAGGGAGAAUUAGUUCCAAUUACAAACAUCUCACUGAGAUCUAUUUUAAACACGUUGAUAUAUUAAAACCCCCCUAGCAACACAGCAGGAAAGUUUACAAAACAUUAAAUGGAAUACCUAUGAAAGCUUUCCGUGUUUUCCAUUCUUUGUCUUACAGGUAUUUUAGGGCCGGAUUCUCAUCUGGUGUCAAUGUGCCUAAUUCCCUUCACUUGGCUGAUGAAUGUAAGCUCAAGUUUGGCUGGAUGUGUUGGUUUGUUCAUUGGAAGACUGGUGGCCAAGCUCCUCAACCGUAGCAGCUCCAAAGUCAAUCAAUUCUGCAAGUACCUAAUACGUCAAAAAUUCAGGAUGGGGGACCAGAUAGGGCCAUUGAUUCUUAGUUCCCCAGCUGGCUAGAGAUGUCCAACAGGAUAAAUCCAGGCCCUGUCAGGUGGGACAGAGUUGCCUAUGGAGUGCUGAAGAAUGAAUGCUGGAGGAAAUGAGGAAGUGCUGAGCAGGGACCCAGGAUAAAGCACAAAGAAAUGAUCAGAGGCACAGCUCACUGCUGGCAGCUCUUAAUUUGUACUCUGCAGUACUUCAUCAUCCAAAAAACAGUCCCUCUGGGGCUAUGGAAUAAAUGGCUGGAGGGAGAUAGGUACGAACCAAAACGUCUGGGGAAGGCUGGAGCGAAAAGCUGGUGACAUCUAUGGAGCUGUGGAGUUACUGCAGUUUCCUUUGCCCUCCCCUUUCCUCAGUCAUUCGGGAUAGGAAACAACCCUUUACUCGGCGUGGGAUUCCACACUUAAAACACCGGUCUGCUUA